UUCUCUUCCUCCUCAAAAUCCAUGAGAAUUAAGCCAGUAAUAACAUAAAAUUAAACUUCUGUGAUGUUUUGCAGGAUACUGAGCUCUCAAUUUACUCAUAUUUCAUAAUAACAGAGAGAACCCUGUUCUCUUUCUAAAACACAACAGUUAAAACCUCUGUGUUUUCCAGGAAUUUUCUCUUCAAGGGACACAUGCUUUUUUGCCAUGUUUGGGAAUUUUACUGGGGCAGGGACUGCAGUUCAGCCAAAUCCAGAAACAACUGAAGUAUCCAACCCAUGUAACCAGAGAAUGGAUAAACCGAUUGUGGCGACUUUUCACAGUGGAAUAAUCCUCAGCAAUAGAGAGGAAUGAAUGACUAUACAUGAAACAACUGAGAUGAACCUCAGAAGCUUUAUGUUGAGCAAAAGAAGCCAGAUACAAAAAACUGAAACCAAAGAAAUCAGAAGUCUUCAGGAGCUAAGUUGUUAACUAAGAGAAACCAACAGAAGCAAAGCA